rnacentral:rRNA from 1 species
AACGUACGCUGGCGGCACGCCUAACACAUGCAAGUCGAACGAAGUAGCAAUACUUAGUGGCAGACGGGUGAGUAACAUGUAGGUAUCUGCCCUUUGGCCUGGAAUAACACGAGGAAACUUGUGCUAAUACCGGAUAAGUCUUUACGGAGAAAGCUUUAUGCACCAUUGGAUGAGCCUGCACUUGAUUAGUUUGUUGGUGGGGUAAUGGCCUACCAAGACUGUGAUCAAUAGCUGAUUUGAGAGGAUGAUCAGCCACAUUGGGACUGAGACACGGCCCAAACUCCUACGGGAGGCAGCAGUGGGGAAUCUUGCACAAUGGAGGAAACUCUGAUGCAGCGAUGCCGCGUGAGUGAAGAAGGCCCUUGGGUUGUAAAGCUCUUUCGUCGGGGAGGAAAAUGACUGUACCCGAAUAAGAAGGUCCGGCUAACUUCGUGCCAGCAGCCGCGGUAAUACGAAGGGACCUAGCGUAGUUCGGAAUUACUGGGCUUAAAGAGUUCGUAGGUGGUUGAAAAAGUUAGUGGUGAAAUCCCAGAGCUUAACUCUGGAACUGCCAUUAAAACUUUUCAGCUAGAGUAUGAUAGAGGAAAGCAGAAUUUCUAGUGUAGAGGUGAAAUUCGUAGAUAUUAGAAAGAAUACCAAUUGCGAAGGCAGCUUUCUGGAUCAUUACUGACACUGAGGAACGAAAGCAUGGGUAGCGAAGAGGAUUAGAUACCCUCGUAGUCCAUGCCGUAAACGAUGUGUGUUAGACGUUGGAAAUUUAUUUUCAGUGUCGCAGGGAAACCGAUAAACACACCGCCUGGGGAGUACGACCGCAAGGUUAAAACUCAAAUGAAUUGACGGGGACCCGCACAAGUAGUGGAGCAUGUGGUUUAAUUCGAAGAUACGCGCAGAACCUUACCAACACUUGACAUGUUCGUCGCGACUCUAAGAGAUUAGAGUUUUUGGUUCGGCCGGACGAAACACAGGUGCUGCAUGGCUGUCGUCAGCUCGUGUCGUGAGAUGUUGGGUUAAGUCCCGCAACGAGCGCAACCCUCACUUUUAGUUGCCAUCAUUAAGUUGGGCACUCUGAAAGAACUGCCAGUGAUAAGCUGGAGGAAGGUGGGGAUGACGUCAAGUCCUCAUGGCCCUUACGUGUUGGGCUACACACGUGCUACAAUGGUAUCUACAACAGGAAGCAAGACUGCGAAGUUAAGCAAAUCCCUAAAAGAUACCUCAGUUCGGAUUGCACUCUGCAACUCGAGUGCAUGAAGCUGGAAUUACUAGUAAUCGUGGAUCAGCGUGCCACGGUGAAUGCGUUCCCGGGUCU